AGCUCGUACAGAUUGUUCUGUUGUCGACUACAUCAUGUUGGUUCUGCGUGUGGCUGAACUCGUCCUGAUUACUGUGAUUACUGUUCUUCUCGUCAGAGCUCCAGGGAACCAGAGAGCGCCUGAUGACGACACUGUGCCUCAUGAUGGAGGCAGACAUGAGAGUGCCGCGAACUAUGAAAACAUCGGAGGACCUUCUGCUUCCGUCAACACCAACGUCAACUGACCAGAGAAUCGACUCGAAGC